rnacentral:rRNA from 1 species
AACGAACGCUGGCGGCGUGCCUAAUACAUGCAAGUCGAGCGAAUGGAUUAAGAGCUUGCUCUUAUGAAGUUAGCGGCGGACGGGUGAGUAACGCGUGGGUAACCUGCCCAUAAGACUGGGAUAACUCCGGGAAACCGGGGCUAAUACCGGAUAACAUUUUGAACCGCAUGGUUCGAAAUUGAAAGGCGGCUUCGGCUGUCACUUAUGGAUGGACCCGCGUCGCAUUAGCUAGUUGGUGAGGUAACGGCUCACCAAGGCAACGAUGCGUAGCCGACCUGAGAGGGUGAUCGGCCACACUGGGACUGAGACACGGCCCAGACUCCUACGGGAGGCAGCAGUAGGGAAUCUUCCGCAAUGGACGAAAGUCUGACGGAGCAACGCCGCGUGAGUGAUGAAGGCUUUCGGGUCGUAAAACUCUGUUGUUAGGGAAGAACAAGUGCUAGUUGAAUAAGCUGGCACCUUGACGGUACCUAACCAGAAAGCCACGGCUAACUACGUGCCAGCCGCCGCCGUAA